rnacentral:rRNA from 1 species
AGAGUUUGAUCAUGGCUCAGAUUGAACGCUGGCGGCAGGCCUAACACAUGCAAGUCGAACGGUAACAGGAAGCAGCUUGCUGCUUCGCUGACGAGUGGCGGACGGGUGAGUAAUGUCUGGGAAACUGCCUGAUGGAGGGGGAUAACUACUGGAAACGGUGGCUAAUACCGCAUAACGUCGCAAGACCAAAGAGGGGGACCUUCGGGCCUCUUGCCAUCAGAUGUGCCCAGAUGGGAUUAGCUUGUUGGUGAGGUAACGGCUCACCAAGGCGACGAUCCCUAGCUGGUCUGAGAGGAUGACCAGCCACACUGGAACUGAGACACGGUCCAGACUCCUACGGGAGGCAGCAGUGGGGAAUAUUGCACAAUGGGCGCAAGCCUGAUGCAGCCAUGCCGCGUGUAUGAAGAAGGCCUUCGGGUUGUAAAGUACUUUCAGCGGGGAGGAAGGUGUUGCGGUUAAUAACCGCAGCAAUUGACGUUACCCGCAGAAGAAGCACCGGCUAACUCCGUGCCAGCAGCCGCGGUAAUACGGAGGGUGCAAGCGUUAAUCGGAAUUACUGGGCGUAAAGCGCACGCAGGCGGUCUGUCAAGUCGGAUGUGAAAUCCCCGGGCUCAACCUGGGAACUGCAUUCGAAACUGGCAGGCUUGAGUCUUGUAGAGGGGGGUAGAAUUCCAGGUGUAGCGGUGAAAUGCGUAGAGAUCUGGAGGAAUACCGGUGGCGAAGGCGGCCCCCUGGACAAAGACUGACGCUCAGGUGCGAAAGCGUGGGGAGCAAACAGGAUUAGAUACCCUGGUAGUCCACGCCGUAAACGAUGUCUACUUGGAGGUUGUGCCCUUGAGGCGUGGCUUCCGGAGCUAACGCGUUAAGUAGACCGCCUGGGGAGUACGGCCGCAAGGUUAAAACUCAAAUGAAUUGACGGGGGCCCGCACAAGCGGUGGAGCAUGUGGUUUAAUUCGAUGCAACGCGAAGAACCUUACCUGGUCUUGACAUCCACAGAAGAAUCCAGAGAUGGAUUUGUGCCUUCGGGAACUGUGAGACAGGUGCUGCAUGGCUGUCGUCAGCUCGUGUUGUGAAAUGUUGGGUUAAGUCCCGCAACGAGCGCAACCCUUAUCCUUUGUUGCCAGCGGUCCGGCCGGGAACUCAAAGGAGACUGCCAGUGAUAAACUGGAGGAAGGUGGGGAUGACGUCAAGUCAUCAUGGCCCUUACGACCAGGGCUACACACGUGCUACAAUGGCGCAUACAAAGAGAAGCGACCUCGCGAGAGCAAGCGGACCUCAUAAAGUGCGUCGUAGUCCGGAUUGGAGUCUGCAACUCGACUCCAUGAAGUCGGAAUCGCUAGUAAUCGUGGAUCAGAAUGCCACGGUGAAUACGUUCCCGGGCCUUGUACACACCGCCCGUCACACCAUGGGAGUGGGUUGCAAAAGAAGUAGGUAGCUUAACCUUCGGGAGGGCGCUUACCACUUUGUGAUUCAUGACUGGGGUGAAGUCGUAACAAGGUAACCGUAGGGGAACCUGCGGUUG